ACAAAGUCAUUUUUUUCUUCGGAAGAAAGUUGAAUGCAAUUGACCACCAGAUGGGAUGUUGUAGCAAUGAAGUAAUGAUGUUGAAAUAUGUUCCUGUUGAACAUGAGUCGUCUGAGGGGAAGACCGGCUUGAUUGUGAGUAACAAUUCAAAACUCUCUUAAAGUCUUCCUACAUUUGAUCAGUGGGAUGAACAGCGGGGAUGUCGAAAUUUGGGUGCCACAGUUUAAACUGCCUAAUUUUCCAUGUUGAGACUGAAAUAAACUGUAUGACAGACUGGUCGAUUAUUUUGCAUUAAUGAUCCUGCAUGAUGAAAGAAUAAAAUGUAAAUUAGAGGAAAAGCGUGGAGACUGAAUUUCCAUAAGCCAUAAUCAGCAGCAUCCCCAGAAUUCUCGAGGUGACAAUCAUAAAAUAGAUAUCCAGUCUGUAACAGGACUUGGACAUAGGAAAACUUUAUCCAUUUCACUGCUGUAGUAACUGACAUUGUGGCCUUGUACGAGAUGGUUACAUUUUGAAGAGCCCUGGAAACAUCAUGAAUUAUUUGUUAACACAUGUUCCCCCUUUGUACUACAAUGCAAGUUGUGACUAUUCCGGAUUUUGGAACUCUUGUGACCAGCACAUGGAGAAGAGUUAGUUUCCUGGAUUCAAACUCAGGCCAUGGACGUGUUGGCACGUUCCAACAAAAUGAACGUUUCUAGAUGGGAAGUAAGGACUGGCUAUCCUUCAGUAACACUGGAGCAAGCAGGGUUUGGGCUUGAAGUGGAAGGGAACAUCAACAACAUUAGAUCAUUUUUAAACAGGGCUGCCAAAUCUAUUACAUGACUGAUGUGUCUAAUAAGCUUGAGUCUACUUAAUGCUGAGCUCUAAUAGAGAUGAUUACUAUAAAAGAAGAUUACCAGUAAAGGAAACUUGUUAAACUGUCUUUACACUGGUAUACUUUCUUGGAUAUUUUCCCAGUGCUUCUCCCCAGCAUUAGCUUCAAAAACCAAAUAUCGAAGACAAUGUUAUAUUACUCACUGGGUGCUACUCUGUAUUCAGCUAGCAGUACAUUUCUGACCUUCUACAUCUCAAUUAGUAAAUCAAUUUACCAGAUGACGAUAGUCCUCUAAAUUAACUUCCAUUAGUUGCAGAUAAGCACAGUCAAUACAGAGAAGAUCCACGUUGGCAACUUAUGAUGCACUCCAGAAACUGCACCACAGUUGAACUGAUGGCACAUAAUGAUGCAGCACUAUUAA